CAAACCCCACACACCCCAUGAAUGCAUGCACCUGCCUUCUGGGACAGAAGGACAACAGGUACAAAGCCCUAAGGAUUAUAAAGGUAUGCUGCUUACCAUCAUCUUAGUGACCAAGGCAGCGAAGCUGUUUCUGUACCUUGGAACAGUCUUCCCUGACAAGCCAGAGAACAGCAAUAAAGCCACCAGCCUUGGGAUCAGGACUGAAAAGGCAAGAGCGAUGGAGAUUUCUCCUGCGCUAAGCCGAGAAGGUUUCAGCACCUCAGACAGCUCCCACAGAAGUAGCCGCGCUCCCAGCUCCUCGCAGAUGUUGAAAAGGAAAGCCUCGGUUUGUCUUGAGGUUGUCAGCAGUUGCAAGACACGUAAUAAAAUGCAAUGUGCUCCU
rnacentral:antisense_RNA from 1 species